rnacentral:rRNA from 1 species
AACGAACGCUGGCGGCAUGCCUAACACAUGCCAGUCGAACGAGACCUUCGGGUCUAGUGGCGCACGGGUGCGUAACGCGUGGGAACCUGCCCUUAGGUUCGGAAUAACUCCCCGAAAGGGGUGCUAAUACCGGAUAAUGUCUUCGGACCAAAGAUUUAUCGCCUUUGGAUGGGCCCGCGUUGGAUUAGCUAGUUGGUAGGGUAAAAGCCUACCAAGGCGACGAUCCAUAGCUGGUCUGAGAGGAUGAUCAGCCACACUGGGACUGAGACACGGCCCAGACUCCUACGGGAGGCAGCAGUGGGGAAUAUUGGACAAUGGGCGAAAGCCUGAUCCAGCAAUGCCGCGUGAGUGAUGAAGGCCUUAGGGUUGUAAAGCUCUUUUACCCGGGAUGAUAAUGACAGUACCGGGAGUAUAAGCUCCGGCUAACUCCGUG